rnacentral:misc_RNA from 1 species
GAUGAAGAACGCAGCGAAAUGCGAUAAGUAAUGUGAAUUGCAGAAUUCAGUGAAUCAUCGAAUCUUUGAACGCACAUUGCGCCCCCUGGUAUUCCGGGGGGCAUGCCUGUUCGAGCGUCAUUUCAACCAUCAAGCCCCAGGCUUGUGUUGGGGACCUGCGGCUGCCGCAGGCCCUGAAAACCAGUGGCGGGCUCGCUAGUCACACCGAGCGUAGUAGCAUACACAUCGCUCAGGGCGUGCUGCGGGUUCCGGCCGUUAAACCCCUUUUUUACCCAAGGUUGACCUCGGAUCAGGUAGGAAGACCCGCUGAACUUAAGCAUAUCAAUAAGCGGAGGA